ACCUGGGUUUGGUCCCAAAGCAGUUCGUGAUGAUGAUGAUUUGCCUGAGUUUAAUUUUUCUGGUAAUAUAAAUGCUUCUAGGCCUAGGCAUCCGUCUCAAAACUUGUCUCAUGGAUCAAGAAUCACCUCGUAUAACCAACAACCUCCCUCUCGCCCUGUAGACCAGAUGAGAGAACUUGGUCUCAAAACUUGUCUCAUGGGUCACGAAUCGCUUCGUAUAACCAACAACCACCCUCUCGCCCUGUAGACCAGAUGAGAGAACUUGUACUUAAGUAUGGGCAAACUGAUACAGUUAGUAGUAAUGAUAGAGUUGCAAAUGUUGGUAUUGGAAUUGAACCGUGGAAUGAUGACGACGAUGACAUUCCGGAGUGGCG
rnacentral:lncRNA from 1 species